CCCCAAAAUCCAUUUCUAAUAGGUUUAGAACUUGGAUACCCAGUUAACCCACUUAUAUUAUACGGCAAUACCCAAAAAUAAAUCGAUACCAAAAUCCCAGAAUUGGAGCAGAGAAACAAGAUGUUCAAUAGAAGGAGAUUCCUGUCGCUCCCCAUGGUUAUUGGAGCUGUUGUUAUUGGUGUUGUCUCUGGAAAAGCUAUAUUUGGACCACCAGUGGAUGAGUACUGGAAGAAGAAACUUGCGGAAGAGGCUGCUGCCAAGGAGACUGACACCAGCUCGUCUUAAUAGAUUUUAAAAACAGUGAAGAUCGUUGAAUGAACAUUUGCAGUUUUCUGUUGCACGUUCGACUGAUGUAUUUAAGUCCGUGAAAGUAGCUUACCCCCCUGCAAGAAGUUGAAAUAUGCUGAACUGUUGGGUGUAACAAGUGUUAAACUUAUGAGUACAGUACAGAAUGAAAGUGUCUCUUAGUUCAUUUUUUCUUGACCAUGUUCAGGAAGCACAAAAUUACAAGUUAUAUUCCAAGUUUAAUAAAAGCUUUACUUUCAUACUUGCA